GGAUGCGAGGGCAAUCUGCCGGUGACAUCUGUUGCCCCAUUGAUCACCAGGGUUGAUUCAACUGAUCUCUCCGGCUAAGUGGAAGUCGUCUUCCUCCCUCACUGCCCUGUAUCUGGUCUUACUCAAGCUGCAUGCUCUGUGGAAGACAGCAAUAAACAAAUAGCAGUAAUAAACAUAUAGCAGUCAAGGAUUUAUGAUACCUGCGUUCUCCUGCUAGAAACUCCAAACAAGCUCUAAGUUAAUUGCGGUGCUUUGUGCUGAAAUAGAUACAAGCACCUUCGCCUGCAGUUCUUGCU
rnacentral:snRNA from 1 species